rnacentral:tRNA from 1 species
GACACGAUGGCCGAGUGGUUAAGGCGAUUGACUCGAAAUCAAUUGGGAUUCUCCCGCGCAGGUUCGAAUCCUGCUCGUGUCG